rnacentral:rRNA from 1 species
UACGUAGGGGGCGAGCGUUGUCCGGAAUCAUUGGGCGUAAAGCGCGUGUAGGCGGUCCGGUAAGUCCGCUGUGAAAGUCGGGGGCUCAACCCUCGAAUGCCGGUGGAUACUGUCGGGCUUGAGUACGGAAGAGGCGAGUGGAAUUCCUGGUGUAGCGGUGAAAUGCGCAGAUAUCAGGAGGAACACCAAUUGCGAAGGCAGCUCGUUGGGACGUUACUGACGCUGAGACGCGAAAGCGUGGGGAGCAAACAGG